AUUGAACGCUGGCGGCAGGCCUAACACAUGCAAGUCGAGCGGAUGAAGGGAGCUUGCUCCUGGAUUCAGCGGCGGACGGGUGAGUAAUGCCUAGGAAUCUGCCUGGUAGUGGGGGAUAACGUCCGGAAACGGGCGCUAAUACCGCAUACGUCCUGAGGGAGAAAGUGGGGGAUCUUCGGACCUCACGCUAUCAGAUGAGCCUAGGUCGGAUUAGCUAGUUGGUGGGGUAAAGGCCUACCAAGGCGGCGAUCCGUAACUGGUCUGAGAGGAUGAUCAGUCACACUGGAACUGAGACACGGUCCAGGCUCCUACGGGAGGCAGCAGUGGGGAAUAUUGGACAAUGGGCGAAAGCCUGAUCCAGCCAUGCCGCGUGUGUGAAGAAGGUCUUCGGAUUGUAAAGCACUUUAAGUUGGGAGGAAGGGCAGUAAGUUAAUACCUUGCUGUUUUGACGUUACCAACAGAAUAAGCACCGGCUAACUUCGUG
rnacentral:rRNA from 1 species